CUAAAUCCUCUCGUGUCCACAUCUCCAUCCCACCGCCCCUGUCUGUGUUUGCGCCCAUUUCUUGACUUCUGAACCUCUGAAUUCACGUCUUCUGGCCUGACCUUAAUCUUUUCAUCUCAAGCCUUUGCAUAUGUUUCCCGUUCUGCUCAGUCUCUCGUAACGUUUCACUCUAUUAGCAUCCACUAAUGUUCGUAGGUGGAUUUUGUGCAACUAAAGCGUCUUGCAGUUCCCCCCGUUUCCCUCCAUUGUUCCCACUUCCACUGUUGUUCUCCCCAGUUGGUCCCACAGUUUAGUCCAGUGCAACAAGACGCUCCACUGCUGCCCCUCAGAAAACCCACAAAUGGAAAAUUCUUGACACACAAAGUAGAAAUUUGUUCCUGCCUCACCAGCCAUCCCCACUUUAUUUUUUGUCUUUAAGAAUCUCUCCUUUUUUUUUUCUCCCUCCUCUUUCUCCGGACACGUGCUCGACUCAUGACACUGAGAUGUAUUCCUGACUGUAACUGUUUUCGCCAAAGUGUUUCCGAAACACUGAUGAGGAGACAUAACCGUCCAGUCAAGCGCUGAAUAUUUUUUGAAUGAUGGAAACAAGAAAAAAACAAACAAACAAACAAACAAAAAAAAAACAAAAACAAGAAACAGACAGACAAACAAACAAACAAACAGCUGGCCUGCGGUGACAAUGAAACAAAAUGGCUGCUGGUUCGAGUGCCUUGGGUAACACCAUGAUAACCAUCACCCACCCGACACUUCAGAUCGGAUGACUCACUGCCAGACAGACAUUCAGAUGACUAAUGAUGAUGGCACAGUGAUGGUUAGAGGGCGGUCACAGCCAAUGAAUGUUUACAGCUAAAAUGCUAAUAAGCUAAUCACUCUGGCUCUCAAAUCCCCCCGUCUUGUGGGAAGAAGAAGAGCAGGAGGAAUCUGAUGCAGAUCUUCUUUGUUGUGCUGUAGGAACUGGAUAGAUUUUUUUUUUUCUGAAGUGUAUCUGUUUGUGAAUUUGGUGUAUGGACACUGUAAACUUUGCUAACUCAUU
rnacentral:lncRNA from 1 species